AACGAACGCUGGCGGCAGGCUUAACACAUGCAAGUCGAGCGCCCCGCAAGGGGAGCGGCAGACGGGUGAGUAACGCGUGGGAAUCUACCCAUCCCUACGGAACAACUCCGGGAAACUGGAGCUAAUACCGUAUACGCCCUUAGGGGGAAAGAUUUAUCGGGGAUGGAUGAGCCCGCGUUGGAUUAGCUAGUUGGUGGGGUAAUGGCCUACCAAGGCAACGAUCCAUAGCUGGUCUGAGAGGAUGAUCAGCCACACUGGGACUGAGACACGGCCCAGACUCCUACGGGAGGCAGCAGUGGGGAAUAUUGGACAAUGGGCGCAAGCCUGAUCCAGCCAUGCCGCGUGAGUGAUGACGGCCCUAGGGUUGUAAAGCUCUUUCACCGGUGAAGAUAAUGACGGUAACCGGAGAAGAAGCCCGGCUAACUUCGUG
rnacentral:rRNA from 1 species